AACGCGAAGAACCUUACCUGGUCUUGACAUCCACGGAAUUUGGCAGAGAUGCCUUAGUGCCUUCGGGAGCCGUGAGACAGGUGCUGCAUGGCUGUCGUCAGCUCGUGUUGUGAAAUGUUGGGUUAAGUCCCGCAACGAGCGCAACCCUUAUCCUUUGUUGCCAGCGGUCCGGCCGGGAACUCAAAGGAGACUGCCAGUGAUAAACUGGAGGAAGGUGGGGAUGACGUCAAGUCAUCAUGGCCCUUACGACCAGGGCUACACACGUGCUACAAUGGCAUAUACAAAGAGAAGCGACCUCGCGAGAGCAAGCGGACCUCAUAAAGUAUGUCGUAGUCCGGAUUGGAGUCUGCAACUCGACUCCAUGAAGUCGGAAUCGCUAGUAAUCGUGGAUCAGAAUGCCACGGUGAAUACGUUCCCGGGCCUUGUACACACCG
rnacentral:rRNA from 1 species